rnacentral:rRNA from 1 species
GCCCUUCGGGGUACUCGAGCGGCGAACGGGUGAGUAACACGUGAGUAACCUGCCCCUGACUCUGGGAUAAGCCCGGGAAACUGGGUCUAAUACCGGAUACGACACCUCCCGGCAUCGGGUGGGUGUGGAAAGUUUUUUCGGUUGGGGAUGGACUCGCGGCCUAUCAGCUUGUUGGUGGGGUAACGGCCUACCAAGGCGACGACGGGUAGCCGGCCUGAGAGGGCGACCGGCCACACUGGGACUGAGACACGGCCCAGACUCCUACGGGAGGCAGCAGUGGGGAAUAUUGCGCAAUGGGCGAAAGCCUGACGCAGCGACGCCGCGUGGGGGAUGACGGCCUUCGGGUUGUAAACCUCUUUCAGCAGGGACGAAGUUGACGUGUACCUGCAGAAGAAGCGCCGGCUAACUACGUGCCAGCAGCCGCGGUAAUACGUAGGGCGCAAGCGUUGUCCGGAAUUAUUGGGCGUAAAGAGCUCGUAGGUGGCUUGUCACGUCGGGUGUGAAAGCUUGGGGCUUAACUCCAGGUCUGCAUUCGAUACGGGCUGGCUAGAGGUAGGUAGGGGAGAACGGAAUUCCUGGUGUAGCGGUGAAAUGCGCAGA